UCACCUAUUUGAAAUCAAAUUGACUCUAGUAGGGAGUCCUUGUAACAAAAAUUGACUCCCUAACGGAGUCAAAUUGAUGACAUAUAGGUCAAUCAACAA
rnacentral:pre_miRNA from 1 species